rnacentral:rRNA from 1 species
AUUGAACGCUGGCGGCAGGCCUAACACAUGCAAGUCGAGCGAGCGGCGGACGGGUGAGUUAUGCCUGGGUAUUGCUAAGUCGGGGGGGAUAACAGUUGGAAACGACUGCUAAUACCGCAUACGAUUGGAUCGCCCAGGUGGGAUUAGCUAGUUGGUGAGGUAAUGGCUCACCAAGGCGACGAUCUCUAGCUGGUCUGAGAGGAUGAUCAGCCAAACUGGGACUGAGACACGGCCCAGACGCCUACGGGAGGCAGCAGUGGGGAAUAUUGCACAAUGGGGGAAACCCUGAUGCAGCCAUGACGCGUGUAUGAAGAAGGCCGUCGGGUUGUAAAGUACUUUCAGUAGGGAGGCGUUACUGACAGAAGAAGCACCGGCUAACUCCGUGCCAGCAGCCGCGGUAAUUC